UAUAAGUGAUGGCGACCGGCGCACGGGUGAGUAACACGUAUCCAACCUGCCGAUAACUCGGGGAUAGCCUUUCGAAAGAAAGAUUAAUACCCGAUGGUAUAAUAAAGCCGCAUGGUUUAAUUAUUAAAGAAUUUCGGUUAUCGAUGGGGAUGCGUUCCAUUAGAUAGUAGGCGGGGUAACGGCCCACCUAGUCUUCGAUGGAUAGGGGUUCUGAGAGGAAGGUCCCCCACAUUGGAACUGAGACACGGUCCAA
rnacentral:rRNA from 1 species